UACGUAGGGUGCAAGCGUUGUCCGGAAUUAUUGGGCGUAAAGAGCUCGUAGGCGGUCUGUCGCGUCUGCUGUGAAAACUCGGGGCUUAACCCCGGGCCUGCAGUGGGUACGGGCAGACUAGAGUGCGGUAGGGGAGACUGGAAUUCCUGGUGUAGCGGUGAAAUGCGCAGAUAUCAUUUGGAACGCCAAUGGUGAAAACAGGUAGCUGGGGCUGUGCUGACGCUGAGACACGAAAGCCAGGGGAGCAAACGGG
rnacentral:rRNA from 1 species